rnacentral:rRNA from 1 species
UAAUACGUAGGGGGCAAGCGUUGUCCGGAAUCAUUGGGCGUAAAGAGCGCGUAGGUGGUCCGGUAAGUCGGUUGUGAAAGUCGGGGGCUCAACCCUCGGAGGCCGACCGAUACUGUCGGGCUAGAGUCCGGAAGAGGCGAGUGGAACUCCUGGUGUAGCGGUGAAAUGCGCAGAUAUCAGGAGGAACACCAAUGGCGAAGGCAGCUCGCUGGGACGGUACUGACGCUGAGGCGCGAAAGCGUGGGGAGCAAACAGGAUUAGAUACCCUGGUAGUCCACGCCGUAAACGAUGGGCACUAGGUGUGGGAGGUGUCGACUCCUCCCGUGCCGUAGCUAACGCAUUAAGUGCCCCGCCUGGGGAGUACGGCCGCAAGGCUAAAACUCAAAGGAAUUGACGG